rnacentral:rRNA from 1 species
UACGGAGGGUGCGAGCGUUGUCCGGAAUCAUUGGGCGUAAAGGGCGCGCAGGUGGCCUGCUAAGCGUGCGGUGAAAGUCGGGGGCUCAACCCCCGAUCGGCCGUGCGAACUGGGAGGCUUGAGCACUGUAGAGGCAGGCGGAAUUCCGGGUGUAGCGGUGGAAUGCGUAGAGAUCCGGAAGAACACCAGUGGCGAAGGCGGCCCGCUGGGCAGUGGCUGACGCUGAGGCGCGACAGCGUGGGGAGCAAACAGG